AGUGAACGCUGGCGGCAGGCCUAACACAUGCAAGUCGAACGGCAGCACAGUAAGAGUGUGCCCUUACGGUUGGCGAGUGGCGGACGGGUGAGGAAUACAUCGGAAUCUACUUUUUCGUGGGGGACAACGGAGAGAAACAUAUGCUAAUACCGCAUAUGUUCUACGGGUGAAAGCAGGGGAUCAUCGCACCUUGCGCGACUGAAUGAGCCGAUGUCGGAUUAGCUAGUUGGGUGGGUAACGGCCCACCAAGGCGACGAUCCGUAGCUGGUCUGAGAGGAUGAUCGGCCACACUGGAACUGAGACACGGUCCAGACUCCUACGGGAGGCAGCAGUAGGGAAUAUUGCGCAAUGGGCGAAAGCCUGAUCGAGCCACGCCGCGUGAGUGAAGAAGGCCUUCGGAUUGUAAAGCCCUUUUAUUAGGGAAGAACAACUGCGGAAUAAUCCCUCGCUGUUCUGACGGUACCCAAACAGAAAGCACCGGCUAACUUCGUG
rnacentral:rRNA from 1 species